UGUCAAGAGUUGGCACCGAUCUGGUGGGUGGAAUUCUUUUGCCUUCGACAAGGUGAAGGUGAUG
rfam:Rhizobium sp. R72 R711_NODE_10, whole genome shotgun sequence.